GUUGGCCUAGUGGUAAAGCGUCCGCCUCAGAUGCGGGAGGUCGCGGGUCGAUCCCCGGUCGAGUCA